UACGGAGGGAGCUAGCGUUGUUCGGAAUUACUGGGCGUAAAGCGCGCGUAGGCGGCUUUGUAAGUUAGAGGUGAAAGCCCGGGGCUCAACCCCCGGAACUGCCUUUAAGACUGCAUCGCUUGAAUCCGGGAGAGGUGAGUGGAAUUCCGAGUGUAGAGGUGAAAGUUCGUAGAUAUUCGGAAGAACACCAGUGGCGAAGGCGGCUCACUGGACCGGU
rnacentral:rRNA from 1 species